AACCCGAGAGAGUCGGGCCGUUCCCCGUUCGGGGGACAGGGUGACAGGUGGUGCAUGGUUGUCGUCAGCUCGUGUCGUGAGAUGUUGGGUUAAGUCCCGCAACGAGCGCAACCCUCGACCUCAGUUGCCAGCAUUCAGUUGGGCACUCUAAGGUGACUGCCGGCUAAAAGUCGGAGGAAGGUGGGGAUGACGUCAAAUCAUCAUGCCCCUUAUGACCUGGGCUACACACGUGCUACAAUGGGCGGUACAAAGGGUCGCGAACCCGCGAGGGGGAGCCAAUCCCAAAAAGCCGCUCUCAGUUCGGAUUGCAGGCUGCAACUCGCCUGCAUGAAGCCGGAAUCGCUAGUAAUCGCGGAUCAGCAUGCCGCGGUGAAUACGUUCCCGGGCCUU
rnacentral:rRNA from 1 species